GACGAACGCUGGCGGCGUGCUUAACACAUGCAAGUCGAACGGAAAGGCCCUGCUUUUGUGGGGUGCUCGAGUGGCGAACGGGUGAGUAACACGUGAGUAACCUGCCCUUGACUUUGGGAUAACUUCAGGAAACUGGGGCUAAUACCGGAUAGGAGCUCCUGCUGCAUGGUGGGGGUUGGAAAGUUUCGGCGGUUGGGGAUGGACUCGCGGCUUAUCAGCUUGUUGGUGGGGUAGUGGCUUACCAAGGCUUUGACGGGUAGCCGGCCUGAGAGGGUGACCGGCCACAAUGGGACUGAGAUUCGGACCAGACUACUACGGGAGGCAGCAGUGGGGAAUAUUGCACAAUGGGCGGAAGCCUGAUGCAGCAACGCCGCGUGCGGGAUGACGGCCUUCGGGUUGUAAACCGCUUUCGCCUGUGACGAAGCGUGAGUGACGGUAAUGGGUAAAGAAGCACCGGCUAACUACGUG
rnacentral:rRNA from 1 species